rnacentral:rRNA from 1 species
AGAGAUGCAUUGGGCGUAAAGUGUGCGCAGGCGGUUUUUGUAAGACAGAGGUGAAAUCCCCGGGCUCAACCUGGGAACUGCCUUUGUGACUGCAAGGCUGGAGUGCGGCAGAGGGGGAUGGAAUUCCGCGUGUAGCAGUGAAAUGCGUAGAUAUGCGGAGGAACACCGAUGGCGAAGGCAAUCCCCCUGGGCCUGCACUGACGCUCAUGCACGAAAGCGUGGGGAGCAAACA